UACGAAGGGGGCUAGCGUUGUUCGGAAUUACUGGGCGUAAAGCGCGCGUAGGCGGACUGGCAAGUCGGGGGUGAAAUGCCGAGGCUCAACCUCGGAACUGCCUUCGAUACUGCCAGUCUUGAGGUCGGGAGAGGUGAGUGGAACUCCGAGUGUAGAGGUGAAAUUCGUAGAUAUUCGGAAGAACACCAGUGGCGAAGGCGGCUCACUGGCCCGAUUCUGACGCUGAGGAGCGAAAGCGUG
rnacentral:rRNA from 1 species